rnacentral:rRNA from 1 species
UACGGAGGAUGCGAGCGUUAUCCGGCUUUAUUGGGUUUAAAGGGUGCGUAGGCGGACGCUUAAGUCAGCGGUAAAAUUGCGGGGCUCAACCUCGUCGAGCCGUUGAAACUGGGUGCCUUGAGUGCGCGGAAGGCAGGCGGAAUUCGUGGUGUAGCGGUGAAAUGCUUAGAUAUCACGAAGAACCCCGAUUGCGAAGGCAGCCUGCCGCAGCGUUACUGACGCUGAAGCACGAAAGCGUGGGUAUCGAACAGG